rnacentral:rRNA from 1 species
GACGAACGCUGGCGGCGUGCCUAACACAUGCAAGUCAACUUGACUGAAGGAGCAAUCUGACAGUAGAGUGGCGCAAGGGUGCGUAACGCGUAAGUAACUUGCCCAAGGUAAGGAAUAACGUCGAGAAAUCGGCGCUAAUACCUCAUAAUGCAGCGGAUCCGCAUGGAUAUGUUGUUAAAGGUUUACCGCCUUGGGAUAGGCUUGCGUCUGAUUAGCUAGUUGGUGUGGUAACGGCACACCAAGGCUACGAUCAGUAACUGGUCUGAGAGGAUGAUCAGUCAUACUGGAACUGAGACACGGUCCAGACUCCUACGGGAGGCAGCAGUGAGGAAUAUUGGGCAAUGCUCGAAAGAGUGACCCGGCAACGCCGCGUGGAGGAUGAAGGUAUUCUAUAUCGUAAACUCCUGUGAGAGCAGACGAAAGACAGAUUAUUAAUCUGGAUGACUGUAUGCUCAGAGGAAGCCCCGGC